rnacentral:rRNA from 1 species
UACGUAGGGGGCAAGCGUUGUCCGGAAUCAUUGGGCGUAAAGAGCGUGUAGGCGGCCCGAUAAGUCCGCUGUGAAAGUCCAGGGCUCAACCCUGGAAUGCCGGUGGAUACUGUCGGGCUCGAAUCCGGAAGAGGUGAGUGGAAUUCCUGGUGUAGCGGUGAAAUGCGCAGAUAUCAGGAGGAACACCAAUGGCGAAGGCAGCUCACUGGGACGGUAUUGACGCUGAGACGCGAAAGCCAGGGGAGCGAACGGG